rnacentral:rRNA from 1 species
GAUGAACGCUGGCGGCGUGCCUAAUACAUGCAAGUCGAGCGAACAGACGAGGAGCUUGCUCCUCUGACGUUAGCGGCGGACGGGUGAGUAACACGUGGAUAACCUACCUAUAAGACUGGGAUAACUUCGGGAAACCGGAGCUAAUACCGGAUAAUAUAUUGAACCGCAUGGUUCAAUAGUGAAAGACGGUUUUGCUGUCACUUAUAGAUGGAUCCGCGCCGCAUUAGCUAGUUGGUAAGGUAACGGCUUACCAAGGCAACGAUGCGUAGCCGACCUGAGAGGGUGAUCGGCCACACUGGAACUGAGCCACGGUCCAGACUCCUACGGGAGGCAGCAGUAGGGAAUCUUCCGCAAUGGGCGAAAGCUUGACGGAGCAACGCCGCGUGAGUGAUGAAGGUCUUCGGAUCGUAAAACUCUGUUAUUAGGGAAGAACAAAUGUGUAAGUAAAUAUGCACGUCUUGACGGUAACUAAUCAGAAAGCAACGGCUAACUACGUG